rnacentral:tRNA from 1 species
UGCCCCCUGGUGUAAUGGCAACACACGUGACUCUGGAUCACGUUAUCGGGGUUCGAAUCCCUGGGGGGCAACCA